AUUUUUAUGAAUAAUUCUUUUAUUUAUUAUUCAUUGUUUUGGUUUGAUUCAGUUUCUUUAAUACUGUACAUCGAUAUUGGUUCUAUGGCCGGCUACUGGGCGCGGUAUCGUCGCUUCCCGGUCUGACGUCACCAGCCCCAUAGUGCGGGAGUGGGGAGUGAGCUGUGAGCCUCGGGGAGCGAUGGACUGCGAGUCGCCGCCGACGCACGUGCGGGGGAAUUACGCCGCGGGCAGAGGUGUAUAAUGCUUCGACACAGCGCCAGGCAGUCCGUGCCUGGGUUGGCAUGGAUGGGGCCGUACCUCCAGCUGGUACGGAAGGAAGUGCCUCGCAAGAGAAUACUUCGAUAAGAUGGCAACUCUCGGCGUGCGGGCCUGCACACUAGCGGCCCUGGCGGCGGCCGGGGGAGACUCACCGUGAAGAGCGCCUGGUGUUGGUCGAUCAUGGCGCGCACCACGCUGAUGGCGUCCGCGCGCUCGUCCGACGUCUCUGCGCUCACGUCCUUGGCGCUGCCCGGCCGGAUCCGGUGCAGGAUGUUGGGCGCGAACAGCGUCGCCAGGUUGCUGCUGUCCAUCUUGUUGCCCGCCACGCUCUCUCCUGCCGCAGCACCACACCUCUGCACCUCCCGAACCUCCACCAUUAUACCUCCUACACUUCUGACCUCACACCUACCCCACAUCUGCACCUCCGCCCUGUUAACACCUGAUCCUCCACCAUUAUACCUCCUACACUUCUGACCUCACACCUACCCCACAUCUGCACCUCCGCCCUGUUAACACCUGAUCCUCCACCAUUAUACCUCCUACACUUCUGACCUCAACCCUACCACACCUCAGCACCUCCGCCUUGUUAACUCCAGAACCAACACCACCAUACCUCCUACACUUCUGACGUCACACCUACCCCACCUCUGCACCUCCGCCCUGUUUUCUCCCGAACCUCCAACAUUAUACCUCCUACACUUCUGACCUCACAGCUACCACACCUCUGCACCUCCGCCCUCUUUACUGCCGAACCAUCACCAUUAUGCCUCCUACACUUAAUACCUCUCACCUUUUACACCUUUUACUUCCUUUGUUGAAAAUUAUCAUCUUAACAACUUCAAUGUGUACAUUAACUGCUGUCAUUCGUAAAACAUUUUUUUUUGGUAAUUCUCAAUUCAGGAUAAACAUUAAAUGAGUA